UACUUCUUCAUUCAGUCCAGUACCUAGA
rnacentral:piRNA from 1 species